rnacentral:sRNA from 1 species
AUAAAGUUACAAAUGCCUAUGAAAAUCUACUCCAGCCUGAAAGAUGUGUUGUAAAACUCUUUGAAAAAUACAUGAGUUUACGCCCCAGCUGUGGAAAAUGCGAUGCAUUUUAUCUGAGACCAAAAGCUGCACCAAAAGGAAGUGUAUGGUAUGACAGUGUACCACUGGGUAUUCAUACUUUACAAUAAACAGUGACGAAGAUGUGCAAAGAAGCAGGUUUUAAUGGAUACUAUACAAAUCAAUUCUUAAGGGCUACUGCUGCAACACGCCUUUAUGCUGCCGGGGUCGACGAACAACUUAUCGCCGAAAAAACAGGCCAUAGACCCUCUGCCAUUCGCGCAUACAAACGUACUUCGGAGGAACAACAGCAGAGCGUCAGUAAUUUGAUACAAAACAGUCUACUGUCUCAGCAUCAGAGUCCAAAAAAAUAAAAUCUGAUGAAAGUGUUUCUUUUGGAUCAGCUAAAGAAAUUAAAAUCUCAGCUGGGGAUGUUACCGUUAAUUUGAAACAUUGAAAUGGUUACCGUUGAUACAAUUUUGGAUUUAUAUUGUGUUCUUUUGCUCAUGAAGGGUAUAAACUAAAUUAUUAACAAUUACUAUAGAAACACAGUUAUUUUCCGUAUUUAUAAUAUUUACAGUUAUGCACAUGUUUUCAAUAAAAUCUUUUUUUUU